rnacentral:tRNA from 1 species
GCCCCCUUAGUUAAAUGGAUAUAACAUGCCCCUCCUAAGGGCAAGUUAUGCGUUCGAUUCGCGUAGGGGGUGCCA